UACGAGGGGGGCAAGCGUUGUUCGGAAUUAUUGGGCGUAAAGGGUGUGUAGGUGGCAAUGUUAGUCCUCUGUUAAAACCUGCGGCUCAACCGCAGAUCUGCGGGGGAAACGGCAUUGCUUGAGGAUGCGAGAGGUACAUGGAACUCAUGGUGUAGGGGUGAAAUCCGUUGAUAUCAUGGGGAACACCGAAUGCGAAGGCAAUGUACUGGCGCACUCCUGACACUGAAACACGAAAGCGUGGGUAGCGAAUGGG
rnacentral:rRNA from 1 species